rnacentral:rRNA from 2 species
CAGUGUACCCGCGGCAAGACGGAAAGACCCCGUGAACCUUUACUAUAGCUUGACACUGAACAUUGAGCCUUGAUGUGUAGGAUAGGUGGGAGGCUUUGAAGCGUGGACGCCAGUCUGCGUGGAGCCGACCUUGAAAUACCACCCUUUAAUGUUUGAUGUUCUAACGUGGAUCCGUAAUCCGGGUUGCGGACAGUGUCUGGUGGGUAGUUUGACUGGGGCGGUCUCCUCCUAAAGAGUAACGGAGGAGCACGAAGGUUGGCUAAUCCUGGUCGGACAUCAGGAGGUUAGUGCAAUGGCAUAAGCCAGCUUGACUGCGAGCGUGACGGCGCGAGCAGGUGCGAAAGCAGGUCAUAGUGAUCCGGUGGUUCUGAAUGGAAGGGCCAUCGCUCAACGGAUAAAAGGUACUCCGGGGAUAACAGGCUGAUACCGCCCAAGAGUUCAUAUCGACGGCGGUGUUUGGCACCUCGAUGUCGGCUCAUCACAUCCUGGGGCUGAAGUAGGUCCCAAGGGUAUGGCUGUUCGCCAUUUAAAGUGGUACGCGAGCUGGGUUUAGAACGUCGUGAGACAGUUCGGUCCCUAUCUGCCGUGGGCGCUGGAGAACUGAGGGGGGCUGCUCCUAGUACGAGAGGACCGGAGUGGACGCAUCACUGGUGUUCGGGUUGUCAUGCCAAUGGCACUGCCCGGUAGCUAAAUGCGGAAGAGAUAAGUGCUGAAAGCAUCUAAGCACGAAACUUGCCCCGA